rnacentral:misc_RNA from 1 species
GAUGAAGAACGUAGCGAAAUGCGAUAAGUAAUGUGAAUUGCAGAAUUCCGUGAAUCAUCGAAUCUUUGAACGCACAUUGCGCCCCCUGGCAUUCCGGGGGGCAUGCCUGUCCGAGCGUCAUUUCUGCCCUCCAGCCCGGCUGGGUGUUGGGCGCUGUCCCCCCGGGGACACGCCCCAAAGGCAGUGGCGGCGCCGCGUCGGGUCCUCGAGCGUAUGGGGCUUUGUCACCCGCUCGGGACGGACUCGUCGGCGCUGGUCUUCCUCCAGGCGACCCUUCGGGGCUCGUCUUCCUUCGGUUGACCUCGGAUCAGGUAGGGUUACCCGCUGAACUUAAGAAUAUCAAUAAGCGGAGGA